UGCAAGUCCGAGCGAUGAAGCUUCCUUCGGGAAGUGGAUUAGCGGCGGACGGGUGAGUAACACGUGGGUAACCUGCCUCAAAGUGGGGGAUAGCCUUCCGAAAGGAAGAUUAAUACCGCAUAACAUAAGAGAAUCGCAUGAUUUUCUUAUCAAAGAUUUAUUGCUUUGAGAUGGACCCGCGGCGCAUUAGCUAGUUGGUAAGGUAACGGCUUACCAAGGCAACGAUGCGUAGCCGACCUGAGAGGGUGAUCGGCCACAUUGGAACUGAGACACGGUCCAGACUCCUACGGGAGGCAGCAGUGGGGAAUAUUGCGCAAUGGGGGAAACCCUGACGCAGCAACGCCGCGUGGGUGAUGAAGGUCUUCGGAUUGUAAAGCCCUGUUUUCUGGGACGAUAAUGACGGUACCAGAGGAGGAAGCCACGGCUAACUACGUGCCAGCAGCCGCGGUAAUACGUAGGUGGCGAGCGUUGUCCGGAUUUACUGGGCGUAAAGGGUGCGUAGGCGGAUGUUUAAGUGGGAUGUGAAAUCCCCGGGCUUAACCUGGGGGCUGCAUUCCAAACUGGAUAUCUAGAGUGCAGGAGAGGAAAGCGGAAUUCCUAGUGUAGCGGUGAAAUGCGUAGAGAUUAGGAAGAACACCAGUGGCGAAGGCGGCUUUCUGGACUGUAACUGACGCUGAGGCACGAAAGCGUGGGUAGCAAACAGGAUUAGAUACCCU
rnacentral:rRNA from 1 species